GGUGACAUGGCCGAGCGAUAAGGCGGGGGAUUGCGAAUCCCUUAUUCCCCAGUUCAAUUCCGAGUGUCGCCU
rfam:Gossypium raimondii Chr07_contig_885, whole genome shotgun sequence.